GCGAUACAGGGUGACAGCCCCGUACACAAAAAUGCACAUGCUGUGAGCUCGAUGAGUAGGGCGGGACACGUGGUAUCCUGUCUGAAUAUGGGGGGACCAUCCUCCAAGGCUAAAUACUCCUGACUGACCGAUAGUGAACCAGUACCGUGAGGGAAAGGCGAAAAGAACCCCGGCGAGGGGAGUGAAAAAGAACCUGAAACCGUGUACGUACAAGCAGUGGGAGCCCUGAUUUAUCAGGGUGACUGCGUACCUUUUGUAUAAUGGGUCAGCGACUUAUAUUCUGUAGCAAGGUUAACCGAAUAGGGGAGCCGGAGGGAAACCGAGUCUUAACUGGGCGUUAAGUUGCAGGGUAUAGACCCGAAACCCGGUGAUCUAGCCAUGGGCAGGUUGAAGGUUGGGUAACACUAACUGGAGGACCGAACCGACUAAUGUUGAAAAAUUAGCGGAUGACUUGUGGCUGGGGGUGAAAGGCCAAUCAAACCGGGAGAUAGCUGGUUCUCCCCGAAAGCUAUUUAGGUAGCGCCUCGUGAAUUCAUCUCCGGGGGUAGAGCACUGUUUCGGCAAGGGGGUCAUCCCGACUUACCAACCCGAUGCAAACUGCGAAUACCGGAGAAUGUUAUCACGGGAGACACACGGCGGGUGCUAACGUCCGUCGUGAAGAGGGAAACAACCCAGACCGCCAGCUAAGGUCCCAAAGUCAUGGUUAAGUGGGAAACGAUGUGGGAAGGCCCAGACAGCCAGGAUGUUGGCUUAGAAGCAGCCAUCAUUUAAAGAAAGCGUAAUAGCUCACUGGUCGAGUCGGCCUGCGCGGAAGAUGUAACGGGGCUAAACCAUGCACCGAAGCUGCGGCAGCGACGCUGAUGCGUUGUUGGGUAGGGGAGCGUUCUGUAAGCCUGUGAAGGUGUGCUGUGAGGCAUGCUGGAGGUAUCAGAAGUGCGAAUGCUGACAUAAGUAACGAUAAAGCGGGUGAAAAGCCCGCUCGCCGGAAGACCAAGGGUUCCUGUCCAACGUUAAUCGGGGCAGGGUGAGUCGACCCCUAAGGCGAGGCCGAAAGGCGUAGUCGAUGGGAAACAGGUUAAUAUUCCUGUACUUGGUGUUACUGCGAAGGGGGGACGGAGAAGGCUAUGUUGGCCGGGCGACGGUUGUCCCGGUUUAAGCGUGUAGGCUGGUUUUCCAGGCAAAUCCGGAGAAUCAAGGCUGAGGCGUGAUGACGAGGCACUACGGUGCUGAAGCAACAAAUGCCCUGCUUCCAGGAAAAGCCUCUAAGCAUCAGGUAACAUCAAAUCGUACCCCAAACCGACACAGGUGGUCAGGUAGAGAAUACCAAGGCGCUUGAGAGAACUCGGGUGAAGGAACUAGGCAAAAUGGUGCCGUAACUUCGGGAGAAGGCACGCUGAUGGUA
rnacentral:rRNA from 2 species